rnacentral:other from 1 species
CAAGUCCUGAUGUGUACGUUUUCUAAUCAAUUAGUUUUGACCGAACAAUUCUAUUUAAGGGAGCCUGCGUUUUCCUGCAUCGUGCAUGCCUUUUGCGAGGACGCAUCAAUCAAGAAACAGGGCACCCACCUGCUGAGAGCGGGUUCAAAACGAUAGAUGUACACCGAGACGGCAUAAUUGGGAUUUGC